CCAUUUUGACACUCCUAAUAUUAACACUAAUACCCUAGAUAUAUAAAAAAUAAUAAUAAAAAAAUAUAUAUUUUUUUUUUGUAGUUUUAGAUUAUAUGUUUUAAAAUUCGAACUUUUUUAUUAUUUUUUUUAGUUUUUUUUUUUAGUUUUUUUUUCAAAUUUUCUUUUUGUAAUUCGCUAUUUUUAAAAAAUUUAUUUUCAAAUUUUUAAUAUUUAUUUUCUAUUUUAUAAAAUUUUAAACCUCUAACCCAAAUUCCGACCCCUUAACGCUAAAUCCUAAAGGUUGGAUUAUUU
rnacentral:lncRNA from 1 species